UAAGGUACCACCGGUGUUCGGGUGUUGUGUGUGUGUGUGUGAUAGAGAGAGAUGGAGGAGUCCGGCGGGUAGGAGAAGCAGGGGUAGUGGCCUCGCUCCAGAGCGUCCGAGCGUGAGGGGGGUUAGAAGAGCCGGGGAGGAGCAGCUCAGACAGCGACUUCACGGGUUCCUAGGCGAGCUCGAGCCGUACCAGCGACCCGCGCCCUGAGCAGAGGUAGUCUAACCCCCGUCACCGUUAGCACGUAGCGUUGGAGGCGCGGGCCACGGAGGUAGAGGUAGAGCGAGCAGCCACCGAGGGUGGUGGGACACGCACGCUGACGCGGCGUGGGAUGGGACGGAUCCAGGCCGUCGUCACGGCGCCACCGACCAGGGACGUUCACGUUCGGCCGCGGUAAUCUGCUAGAUAAGGGGUGAAGUCGAAAGUAUAGACGAACAUAGACUACGAAUGUUCUUUACCUAAAACUUCUGGUAGAUUGAUAGAUUCUCAGUACCUUAAGCAAGGUAGGAUUUAAAAACCCUGAGACCUUAUUUGUGUUUCUACCCUUACCCCUACGUAUGGACGGACGGUAUGUGUAACUGUACAAAAGUUAUGAGUAGGGCUUCGAAAAGUCGCAACAUGUCUUCUUCAAUAACUGUCCAAAUGAAGUACUAUCAGAACCGAAAACAAAACCGGUUUUACUAGUCCGUCCACGCAACGGACUCCUCAAGCAGCCGCGGAUGCAGCAGCCGGCGCUUUCCCCCGCUACCGGUUUUGACCGACCCGCCGCUGCCGCGUUGUCACCGAACGCCGCGGCUGCAGAGUGACGUCACAGGCAGACUUGUCGCUGUAGCUUCUUUCUGUGACUCUAAUUGACCCUACCUUGGCCGGUGUAUAACGCGUGUUCUCCUAUCAGACGUGGACGAAAGCGCUCUUCGAGAAGCCGCGCCAGCAGCAGGCGCGGUGUACCGACGCUACCGCGUCCUGUCCGAGACGCCGACGCUGCAUGCAGGCCCACCCGUUCCCAUCCUUCUAGGUAGACUAAGGGCAUUCAAAUCGAUGAACAACAAUCCGCCUGCACAAAUUAACGGCAAUUAACACCGAUUAAAAGACAUCAAAUCGGUAAACAACAACCCUGCGCUUGUCUUAAACACCUUGGCAAGGCUAGAACACGCUCGCACUCAGGUCGUCUCAAAAGCAGGCGGUUCAAGAGAACAAAGACUAAAAUGUGUUUUAAGAUAAAUUGUAUAUACACGCAAGAAGUAAACGAAGGGAUUAGG
rnacentral:rRNA from 1 species